UACGUAGGGUGCAAGCGUUUGUCCGGAAUUAUUGGGCGUAAAGAGCUUGUAGGCGGUUUGUCGCGUCUGCUGUGAAAUUUCGGGGCUCAACCCCGAACUUGCAGUGGGUACGGGCAGACUAGAGUGUGGUAGGGGAGACUGGAAUUCCUGGUGUAGCGGUGAAAUGCGCAGAUAUCAGGAGGAACACCGAUGGCGAAGGCAGGUCUCUGGGCCACUACUGACGCUGAGACGCGAAAGCGUGGGGAGCGAACAGG
rnacentral:rRNA from 1 species